GAUCCCUCUUUCCUCCUUCUGUAGUGCAUGACCAGAGGUCACGCAUGAUGAAAUCCUGUGCAACCAAGUGAGUUGCAUAUGCUUGACGGCACAACCCAAGUGAGUUGCAAACUGGUCUAAAGCUCGUAGCCCAGGAGAGCUAGAGCUGGUGACGGGAUCGAGCUUAAAGAGCUGCGAUCACAUUGGAAGAGUUGAGCCCAGGUGCCGCUGGUGUUAGAGGAAGGUGCUGCCGGUGCUAGGAGGUUCAUCUGGACCAAAGAGCAGAGGAAAUUCAAACUGAAAAAUCAGAGGUGAAUUCAGGAAUAUCAAAGAAGUCACCUAUAGUUGCUCUUAAAAUAAUCUCGACGUCUGUCAAAAUUACAGAUGAAAAAUUUGAUGGAAAGCAUUAUGCUAAAUGGCGUAAAAUCAUCAAGAUGAUCCACCUGAGUCUAUUGUGCAAGACAAGUGGUUAUGGGAAGACAACCGGCUUUAUGAUAUGAUUCAAAAAACUCUAGAUAAAUCAGUAAAACAUAUUCUUUCUCAUUGUAAAACUGUCAAAUAUCUAUGGGAAUAUAUGGAAUUUAUUUAUUCUAAAAAAGAGAACUUGUCUUGUAUUUA